rnacentral:rRNA from 1 species
UAGGGAAUCUUCCGCAAUGGACGCAAGUCUGACGGAGCAACGCCGCGUGAGUGAAGAAGGAUUUCGGUUCGUAAAACUCUGUUGUUAGAGAAGAACAGCGCAUAGAGUAACUGUUAUGCGUGUGACGGUAUCUAACCAGAAAGCCACGGCUAACUACGUGCCAGCAGCCGCGGUAAUACGUAGGUGGCAAGCGUUGUCCGGAUUUAUUGGGCGUAAAGCGAGCGCAGGCGGUCAAUUAAGUCUGAUGUGAAAGCCCCCGGCUCAACCGGGGAGGGUCAUUGGAAACUGGUUGACUUGAGUGCAGAAGAGGAGAGUGGAAUUCCAUGUGUAGCGGUGAAAUGCGUAGAUAUAUGGAGGAACACCAGUGGCGAAGGCGACUCUCUGGUCUGUAACUGACGCUGAGGCUCGAAAGCGUGGGGAGCGAACAGG